AUUGAACGCUGGCGGCAUGCUUUACACAUGCGAGUCGAGCGGCAGCGCGGGGGCAACCCUGGCGGCGAGCGGCGAACGGGUGAGUAAUGCAUCGGAACGUACCCUGGAGUGGGGGGAUAACGCCGCGAAAGCGGCGCUAAUACCGCAUAUGCUCUGAGGAGGAAAGUGGGGGACCGCAAGGCCUCACGCUCUGGGAGCGGCCGAUGUCCGAUUAGCUAGUUGGUGGGGUAAAGGCUUACCAAGGCGACGAUCGGUAGCUGGUCUGAGAGGAUGAUCAGCCACACUGGGACUGAGACACGGCCCAGACUCCUACGGGAGGCAGCAGUGGGGAAUUUUGGACAAUGGGGGCAACCCUGAUCCAGCCAUGCCGCGUGAGUGAAGAAGGCC
rnacentral:rRNA from 1 species